rnacentral:rRNA from 1 species
UUCAACGAGUUUAUAACCUGGGCCGAAAGGUCUGGGUAAUCUUGUGAAAUUUCAUCGUGAUGGGGAUAGAUUAUUGCAAUUAUUAAUCUUCAACGAGGAAUGCCUAGUAAGCGCGAGUCAUCAGCUCGCGUUGAUUACGUCCCUGCCCUUUGUACACACCGCCCGUCGCUCCUACCGAUUGAAUGAUCCGGUGAAGUUUUCGGAUUGCGGCUACUCCGGCGGUCCGCCGCCGAAGAAGCUGUGAGAAGUUCAUUAAACCUUAUCAUUUAGAGGAAGGAGAAGUCGUAACAAGGUUUCCGUAGGUGAACCUGCGGAAGGAUCAUUGACACACAUCCUAACCGAUGCUUGUGCCAACAAGCAGACCCAGCGAACCUAUUCUCCUACACUUGAGGGGCUGCAUCGCGAGGUGCAGCUGUCGGCGGUCGGGCCCUUGUUUCGGGGCCGGAGUCCUUGCUGGGCUCACCGUUGCGGGUGAGCAUCGGCCGUUCGACGGGGGCCGCUCUUGGGCCUCGCACACAGGAGAGUGCGAGGGCGGCGUUUCCCACUCCAGCUGUCCCUUCGGGGCGGCUGCGCAACCAACAAAACACAAUGCAACAACCGACUAAAGACCGAUCCUUUGUGGGACGCCCUUCGGGGAGGUCCGCAUCGAAUCAAAACAAACUAAAGACAACUCUCAACAACGGAUAUCUUGGCUCUCGCAACGAUGAAGAACGCAGCGAAAUGCGAUACGUAGUGUGAAUUGCAGAAUUCCGUGAAUCAUCGAAUCUUUGAACGCAUAUUGCGCCCGCGGCCUCGGCCAAGGGCAUGUCUGCCUGAGCGUCAUUAUAACACCUCACACCCUUUUGGGGGCGUGGAUAUGGCCGUCCGGGCUCUCAGAGCCUGGUUGGCUGAAAGGCAGAUGCAAAGCCAGCAGCCCAUUCAACGGCAAGGCGUGGUAGACCGCAUCGCGGGCGAUCGUCGUGCCGGGGCUGAUUGCGGCUUUCGCAUUAGCAGGAACCGCCGCUCCUGACGGACUUCGGUCUUGAAGGAGUCGGCCUUGACCCAUUGACCUCAGAUCAGGCAAGAUUACCCGCCGAAUUUAAGCAUAUUACUAAGCGGAGGAAAAGAAACUAACAAGGAUUCCCCUAGUAACGGCGAGCGAACCGGGAAGAGCCCAACUUGAAAAUCUGGCAGCUUCGCUGUCCGAAUUGUAGUCUAAAGAAGCGUCCUCUGUAGCGGACCGGGCCCAAGUUCCCUGGAAUGGGACGUCAGAGAGGGUGAGAGCCCCGUCGACCCCGGACCCUGCUACUCCACGAGGCGCUGUCGCCGAGUCGGGUUGUUUGGGAAUGCAGCCCUAAAUGGGUGGUAAAUUCCAUCUAAGGCUAAAUACUGGCGAGAGACCGAUAGCGAC